GAUGAAGAACGUAGCUAAAUGCGAUAAGUAGUGUGAAUUGCAGAAUUACCUGAAUCAUCGAAUCUUUGAACGCACAUUGCGCCCCCUGGUAUUCCUGGGGGCAUGCCUGUUCGAGCGUCAUUAACAACCAAUCGGGCGGGGCUUUUGCAUGCUCCCGCUCGGCCAUGGGGGAUGGACGUCGUCGGACGCCCACCCCCGAAAUGCAACGGCGGACGGCCACCCGUGGCACUGCGGCGUAGUAAGUUAACCCUUCGCGCGCGCCCACGGAGUGGACUGCCCGGCCGCUUGAACCCCCACACAUCCUACGGUUGACCUCGGAUCAGGUAGGGAUACCCGCUGAACUUAAGCAUAUCAAUAAGCGGAGGA
rnacentral:misc_RNA from 1 species